AGGGCAAGUUGGGCAAUCGCGUGCUUAUAAGUACGAGGAAGGUCCGGACUCCAUAGGACAGAGUAGCGGCUAACAGCCGUCCAUGCCUUUGGCAUGAGGAAUAGGGCCACAGAGACGAGACUGUUAUGAGGGCUUAAGCAAUUAGGCACACAGGUGGCGACUUCCACUUGUUGAUAUAGUGCAUUGAGUUGCAUUGUAGAAGCAUAGCAGGGUGAAACGCGGUAACCUCUACUCGGAGCAACAUCAAAUAGGCGUACGUACUGCGUCAAGCAGCUAAGGGCGGUCCGUCCGAGUAUGCGGGUAGAUGGCAAGAGCUUGUUAGUAAUAACAAGCCUAGAUGAAUGAUUGCCAACGAUUUAUCGUUUACAGAAUCCGGCCUAUAGACUUGCCCCUCCU
rnacentral:RNase_P_RNA from 4 species